rnacentral:rRNA from 1 species
UUGACCUCGGAUCAGGUAGGGAUACCCGCUGAACUUAAGCAUAUCAAUAAGCGGAGGAAAAGAAACCAACAGGGAUUGCCUCAGUAACGGCGAGUGAAGCGGCAACAGCUCAAAUUUGAAAUCUGGCUCUUUCAGGGUCCGAGUUGUAAUUUGUAGAAGAUGCUUUGGGUGUGGCUCCGGUCUAAGUUCCUUGGAACAGGACGUCAUAGAGGGUGAGAAUCCCGUACGUGACUGGUUGCCUCCGCCCGUGUAAAGCUCUUUCGACGAGUCGAGUUGUUUGGGAAUGCAGCUCAAAAUGGGUGGUAAAUUUCAUCUAAAGCUAAAUAUUGGCCAGAGACCGAUAGCGCACAAGUAGAGUGAUCGAAAGAUGAAAAGCACUUUGGAAAGAGAGUUAAACAGUACGUGAAAUUGUUGAAAGGGAAGCGCUUGCAACCAGACUUGCAUGCGGUUGAUCAUCCGAGCUUCUGCCCGGUGCACUCGAUCGUAUUCAGGCCAGCAUCGGUUUUGGUGGGCGGAUAAAGGCCUUGGGAAUGUAGCUUCCUUCGGGGAGUGUUAUAGCCCUCGGUGCAAUGCGCCCUANCCGGGACCGAGGACCGCGCUCGGC